AGCUUAAAACAUAUAAUAUAUUAUAUGAAGUUUGACGAUUUAUUAAUUGUGUAAUAUGUUAGACUUUUUAUAUUUGUAUAUUUAAUUAUUUAUUAUCUUAGAAUAAAUUAGCGCCUCACUUCGCUCAGGUGAGCGCCUAGUGCCUUGGGCGAUGAAGGACCUUCUCGCAUUAAGGGCGCCUAGCACUUUUGACAACACUGAUAAAAUGGUCAAAUCAAUGAAAUUAUACAAAUUUAACAUCAUAAAAUAGUUUAGCAUUCAACAAUGAGCUAAGCUGUUCAUUCAGUUUGUAUUUUUUUUUCUUCGUCUUGUCAUUUUUAUCUCUAUUUAUCAUGGUCUUCCCAUAUGAAGAUAGAGGGUUUUAUUCUAUUGGAGGCAAGAAAUGAACAUGUUUAACUUAAUUCGCUUCUAUAACUAUCCUUGCUCUACUAUUAGUAUGGUGUCAUUAUGGAUCAACAAGGGCAAUGAAACCUUAGUUUCAUUUUUGUGAUACAGAGAUUGGUCUGAUGCUUUUUCAUGCCUUAUUUUUCACCUUUUUAAGGCACUUAGAUUUGAAUGUUGUUGU
rnacentral:misc_RNA from 1 species